rnacentral:rRNA from 1 species
ACAGCAGCCGCCGCGGUAAUACGUAGGGUGCAAGCGUUAAUCGGAAUUACUGGGCGUAAAGCGCACGCAGGCGGUCUGUCAAGUCAGGUGUGAAAUCCCCGGGCUUAACCUGGGAACUGCAUUUGAAACUGGCAGGCUAGAGUCUUGUAGAGGGGGGUAGAAUUCCAGGUGUAGCGGUGAAAUGCGUAGAGAUCUGGAGGAAUACCGGUGGCGAAGGCGGCCCCCUGGACAAAGACUGACGCUCAGGUGCGAAAGCGUGGGGAGCAAACAGGAUUAGAUACCCGAGUAGUCCCUGUCUCUUAUAC